rnacentral:rRNA from 1 species
UACAGAGGGGGCAAGCGUUGUUCGGAAUUACUGGGCGUAAAGGGCGCGUAGGCGGCCUGUUAAGUCGGACGUGAAAUCCCCGGGCUCAACCCGGGAACUGCGUCCGAUACUGGCAGGCUUGAAUCCGGGAGAGGGAUGUGGAAUUCCAGGUGUAGCGGUGAAAUGCGUAGAUAUCUGGAGGAGCACCGGUGGCGAAGGCGGCAUCCUGGACCGGCAUUGACGCUGAGGCGCGAAAGCCAGGGGAGCAAACGGG